GCCGGGGUGGCGGAAUGGCAGACGCUAGCGACUUAAAAUCGCUUGUCCGUGAGGGCGUGCGGGUUCGAGUCCCGCUCUCGGCACCA
rnacentral:tRNA from 1 species